CACGCCCGUCACACCAUGGGAAUCGGAUCUACCCGAAGGUGGUGCGCCAACCUGGCAACAGGAGGCAGCCAACCACGGUAGGUUCAGUGACUGGGGUG
rnacentral:rRNA from 1 species